CGAUAAGAGAUUUCGUCUAUUAGAUUAAAACUCGAAGAAUGUAUUUUGAUAUAGCAGUGCAUUCAACCGUUUAAAUGAGGGAUUGUCAUUUGUCAUUCCCAAAUUGAGGUUAAUUAAAGAUGGUUAUGUUUUAUUCCAUUAAUUGGACGGGACGUCUUUAUCGGAGGUGAAUGUGAUUUACUUUGUCACAUUCGAUGGCUAUGGUAAAGCGAUUGAAGUGUAUUCAGUUUCAUUUUACGAUAAGAGAUUUCGUCUAUUAGAUUAAAACUCGAAGAAUGUAUUUUGAUACGUCAUUGCAUUCAACAGUUUUAAUGAGGGAUUCUUUAUUGUCUUUCCCAGAUUGAGAUUGUUUGAAGAUACGUAUGUUUUAUUCCAUUAAUUGGACGGGACGUCUUUAUCGGAGGUGAAUGUGAUUUACUUUGUCUUAUUCGAUGGCUAUGGUAUAGGCGAUUGAAGUGUAUUCAGUUUCUUUUUACGAUAAGAGAUUUCGUCUAUUAGAUUAAAACUCGAAGAAUGUAUUUUGAUAUAGCAGUGCAUUCAACCGUUUUAAUGAGGGAUUCUAAAUUGUCAUUCCCAAAUUGAGGUUACUUGAAGAUGGUUAUGUUUUAUUCCAUUAAUUGGACGGGACGUCUUUAUCGGAGGUGAAUGUGAUUUACUUUGUCACAUUCGAUGGCUAUGGUAAAGCGAUUGAAGUGUAUUCAGUUUCAUUUUA